CCCCUUCUUAGGAAGGGUGUCACUGUGUCUAGCAGGUGGAAUAGGGGAGUGAAUCAUAAGAGUAAAUGUGUGACAAUGUGUGAGUUGAGAUAAAGACAGUUUAAUAGUUAGAAGAAGAAGAAGAAGAAG